rfam:Oryza sativa Japonica Group DNA, chromosome 8, cultivar: Nipponbare, complete sequence.
AUACCUUUCUCGGCCUUUUGGCUAAGAUCGUGUAGUAUCUGUUCUUAUCAGUUUAAUAUCUGAUACGUGGGUCUUGUGCCCACUUUGAUAUUAAAUUUAUUUUUUGUGGGGGAGGGUCCACCAUAGUGGCUUGCCACUAGGGCCCUCGUGUGUUGCCUAGACGUUGCACUAUAGCCCUGGCAGGCGCACCCCAA